GUGGGGAAUCUUGCGCAAUGGGCGAAAGCCUGACGCAGCCAUGCCGCGUGAAUGAUGAAGGUCUUAGGAUUGUAAAAUUCUUUCACCGGGGACGAUAAUGACGGUACCCGGAGAAGAAGCUCCGGCUAACUUCGUGCCAGCAGCCGAGGUAAUACGAAGGGGGCUAGCGUUGCUCGGAAUUACUGGGCGUAAAGGGCGCGUAGGCGGACAGCUUAGUCAGAGGUGAAAGCCCAGGGCUCAACCUUGGAAUUGCCUUUGAUACUGGCUGUCUUGAGUUUGGGAGAGGUGAGUGGAACUCCGAGUGUAGAGGUGAAAUUCGUAGAUAUUCGGAAGAACACCAGUGGCGAAGGCGACUCACUGGCCCAAUACUGACGCUGAGGCGCGAAAGCGUGGGGAGCAAACAGGAUUAGAAACCCCGGUAGUCC
rnacentral:rRNA from 1 species